GAUUUUGAUUUUGCAGCCAAGGUUCAGAACUCCUGGGAGGAGAAAUGUUUCUCUUUAGAAUGGGAAGAUCUCAGGUAGAAUGAAGCUUAAAGUGCAAAAGAUUGCCUGGAUAUGUUCAGCAAGUCUAUUCAUCAUGGCUUAAUUGUUCACGAUGCACCAGGCACUGUGUGUGGAACUGGGUAUAAAGAAGAAAGGGACAGGAUACCUGAUUACAGGUAUCAGGAAGCUGAAGGAAGAGACCUGUGAACAACCAACAGGAACUGAGCGGAGCUCCCACUUCAAGUGUCAGGGUCAGAGGAGCGGUGGUGAAGUGCCUCAGUACAUCACUUGAGUGGAAGAGCUUUCCAGUUAAUAUACUUAGGAUUUACAUGAGGUUUAUCUCCAGCCAGUGUGAGAUCUGAAAGCAGUUUCAACAGAGCAGAUUCAAGAAAUAAAAGACCAGUCUCAAUAGAUGCAGCCAGUGAUAGCAACCAACGUACUCCAGAGAGAAUGUGCCCCCAAACCAUGAUGAGCCUUGUGGACUAUGACAGAAAAAAAAAAAGGAGACAGGGCAAAGAAGAAAAGGUUCCCUCAAUCUGAGUCUGCACACACAGUCCUAGAGAAGCACUUCGAUCUGUUCAGCUUACACGCCUGUCACUUGGCUGACCACUCUGGACUCUAGGGAGAGACACCUGAAAACGUCACACUCCCACUUCUAUCCCCUCACCCUAUGUCAUCCACCCUCUGUAAGUAACAUUUUUUCGUUAGUUUCUGGUUUAUCUUUGCUGUGUUUCUUUUCUUGCUGCAAAAACAAAUAUAAACAUCACACACAGAUUCUUAUUUCCCAUUCCAUCUCACGCAAAAAGUAGCCCACUAUAUACAGCCUUUCAUAUCUUUCCUUUUUCAUUUGACAACGCAUGCUGAAAAAUACUAAUGUCAGUUUGUAGAGAUCUUUUUCAUUUUGAGAAAGCUUCACUGAACUGUAUUAUUUAAAUGCACCUUAGUUUAUUCAGCCCAGGCUCUUACAAAUCACAUGUAUGUGGUUUCUAAUACUUUACAUUUCCAAAUAAUUCCACAGUGAAUAGGCUUGUGCAUAUAUUGUUUCAUAUUGGUGGGAGUGUAGCUUUGCGAUAAUUUCUCAGAAAUGCAAUAAGUUAUUCUUAUAAAUUCUCAUAAGUGUAGUUCUAAUAAGGUAAACAUCCUUGUAGUUUUGAUGGAAAUUCAUCACAUUCCCCUCAAUAAUGGUGCACCAUUUUGCUCUGUAACAAGCAAAGUCAGGCAGUGACUUUUUUCAGAGAUUUACUUAAGUUUAUUGUUAUCGUUUAAAAGUUUUUGUCAAGCUGUUGCCGUGGUGAAAAAUAUCGUAAUGAAGUUUUAUUUUCCACUUCUUCUACUAUGAGUAAAUUUAAUUAGCCUUUCACAUGUUUAAGGGGCUUUUGUCUACAUUUUUUUGCAAAGUGCUUUUCCUUUUCUUCCCUAAAAAAUGUUUGCUUUUUUAUUUUGAACUAAUUUAGUAUUACAGAAAAGUUGCAAAAAUAAUUCCGAGUAUCUCUAUAUCGUCUUCACCCAGCUUCCCGCUAAUGUUAAUACCUUACAUCACCCUAGUACACCCAUCAAAAUCCGUAAAUUAACACUUUAUUAAACUACCCACCAUAUUCAAAUUCUAUCAGUCUUUCUACUAAUUCUUUUUUCUGUUCUAGGAUUCUAUACAGAUCUCUUUGAUUUUGAGAACUGACCUUGAAUUAGAGAUUUGCUCCUUUUCUGUGACAUAAAUUGUCAAUAUAUUCUCACAAGUUGUCACUUGUUUCUGUCUCCUCUCUCUAGAACAUGCUUCUUCCUUUCACUCCUCCACCCCACUUCCAUGUGCCUGACUACCUGUAAGCUAGUUAAGUUCUUGUAAUUCUCAUCAGAGCCCUCUCAGAACUCCCUUCACAGCAUUUAUCAACAGUUAGACUUUUAUGAUUGUUUAUUUGCUUGUUUUUUUCUCUCUCCUGACUCAGCUCUAAAAGCCAUUAAGGCAGGAGCUGUGUUUAGUGACCACCAUACAGCCAACUCCUGGAAGAAUGCCUGCCAGAUCCUAACUUUUUACCAUUAUUAAUUAAGUUCAUUAAAUAGAUCACCAAGAAACCAUACCACAGAAGAAAUUUUCGAAGUAAGAAUAUUUAGAACAGAGAAGAUUAAAUAGGGACAUAAUAGACAUUUUCUUUCUUUUCUUUUUUUUAAGAUUGGCACCUGAGCUAACAACUGUGGCCAAUCUUUUUUUUUUUUUCUGCCCUAUCUCCCCUAAUCCCCCCUGGUACAGAGUUGUAUAUCUUAGUUACAGGUCCUUCUAGUUGUGGCAUAUGGGAUGCUGCCUCAACAUGGCCUGAUGAGCGGUGCUAUGUCCGCGCCCAGGAUCCGAACUAGCGAAAUCAUGGGCCGCUGCAGCGGAGCAUGUGAACUGAACCACUCGGCCACGGGGCCGGCCCUGACAUUUUCAAAUAUAUAAAAAGUGAUCAUACCAACUAUUAGCAUAAUCGACUUGAGCUGGGGUUUUGAAAUUUGUAUACGAAUUUAUAAAAGAAAGCUGAAAACUAUGUCCUGAUGCCUGGAAUACACAUUUCUACUUUGAGGAUGUCUUCAGGUACACAGGACUUGUACCUGCAGUGAAUAAACUAAGGCACAUUCUUGAAGAAUCCUAAUGUUUAAUCUCAAGUUUCAUGUAAUGGGCUUUUGGGAAAUAGCAUGUUCCACUAAUCAUGCCAGUGUUGUCAGGGCAUCACAAGGUACCCUCAAAGAUGUCUGAUUCAUAGACUGACCUGUCUUUAAUUCAUAUUUUACUGACUGACUAGUAGGAAAUUCAGUGCUGAUAUCUAAGUAAGUGCUGAUUUGAAGGCUGUAAACACACUAAACCUGAUAAAGUGUAGCACAUAUGGCAGAAGGAGCCAAAAACUAGGGAAAGACAGUGGAAGUGAAUUAUUAAAUCGUCAAAUAUUGAAACCUAAGGCUUCUUUUGAUUUGACUGGCUACCAGGUUGUAAACACCUGUCAUUUUUCAGUUUUCCUUAAAGCAGAUAUUCUGCAUAUCACGAUAUACUCAAAGAUAUUCUGCAAUUUCAUAACCCGCUGUACAUUUCUUUAGUUCAUUGUAUUUGCUGCAAAUGCACCUGCACAGUUUGAUGUUUAUAAAAAUGGCAAUUAUGAUGAUGUACCAUUGAAAUAAAACUUUGCUGGAUAGAAAUUAAAGAGUGAAAACAAUGAUCUGCUAAAAACUAUUAUUUUGUCAGGCAUUCCAUUCAUCAAAAUUGCAAUUAAUUUCUUCCUCUCCAUAGUCAUUGUGGGUGAAACAAAGACCAGCAAUCUCACAUCUGGUUACAGAUUUAAAAAGAGAACAUUUCCCUCUUUCACAAAGCUCCGUGAGUGUUGUGUUUACAUUGUUAGAUGAGAUGGUUAAAAUUCUCUAGUGUUCAAUGUUUUAUAUUUAUUGUGAUUUAGACUCUAGAAAAUUUGCAAUCGAAGUUUGGAAGAAGUGUUUGAUUAAAAAUAAAUGUCUUAAAACAGCCUCUCUUGCUUUACAGCUGCUUUGAAAAGUCUGUAAUAUUAUUAAGUUUCAAAAAGUAAUGCCAUUGUACUGCUAUCAUUCACUUUAUAUUUUAUAUGAAACAAAGACUAUGUUUUUGUACAUAAAUAAAAUCCAGAGUUUGCAAGGG
ensembl:lncRNA